UACAACAGAUAGAUUUAACUACCUGAUUUAUUUAAGAAUAAUGAACAAAAUUAAGAAAUUAAUCUCAGAAGCUAAGCAGGGUCAGACCUGGUUAGUACUUGGAUGGGAGACCUAGGAAGACCAGGUGCUGUUGGCA
ensembl:rRNA 5S_rRNA 5S ribosomal RNA